rnacentral:rRNA from 1 species
UACGAAGGGUGCAAGCGUUACUCGGAAUUACUGGGCGUAAAGCGUGCGUAGGUGGUGAGUUAAGUCUGUCGUGAAAGCCCCGGGCUCAACCUGGGAAUGGCGAUGGAUACUGGCUCGCUAGAGUGCGGUAGAGGAGAGUGGAAUUCCCGGUGUAGCAGUGAAAUGCGCAGAUAUCAGGAGGAACACCGAUGGCGAAGGCAGGUCUCUGGGCAUUAACUGACGCUGAGGAGCGAAAGCAUGGGGAGCGAACAGG